AACGAACGCUGGCGGCAUGCCUAACACAUGCAAGUCGAACGAAGCCUUCGGGCUUAGUGGCGCACGGGUGCGUAACACGUGGGAAUCUGCCCUUCGGUUCGGAAUAACAGUUAGAAAUGACUGCUAAUACCGGAUGAUGACGUAAGUCCAAAGAUUUAUCGCCGAAGGAUGAGCCCGCGUAGGAUUAGGUAGUUGGUAGGGUAAUGGCCUACCAAGCCGACGAUCCUUAGCUGGUCCGAGAGGAUGAUCAGCCACACUGGGACUGAGACACGGCCCAGACUCCUACGGAGGCAGCAGUGGGGAA
rnacentral:rRNA from 1 species